AGUUUCCUUUCCUUGUAAGCAUGAAGAAGGCGACACUCUCAACUUGUGAAAACUGCAAGGGGAAGACUGACGCGCUCAAGAAGAUCAAAGGUAUAGCACAAUCUUUGCAUUGGAUCGCGGCCCUGAUUCCAUGAAAUCUCUGGUGCGGUUUUCCCAAUAGGGGUCGAUAAGGUGGAAUCGGAGUCGUCAGGCUGGUGGUGAUUGGAAAAUUUGAUGUGGACGACGUGCUAAAGGCGAUGGAUUGCCACCACAGUGUCCUUCGUUCCAUCGAGAACAAUUACGAGCCCCCCAAAAAGAAGGAAGCAGGCUCUAGCGUUAUAUAUGUGUACACCCACACCUACAACCAGUGGAAAACGUAUGAAACUAAAAAACGUAACGUUUUAAACGCGUUAAAAAACGCCGUUCUAAACUCCCAACGAGUUUGCACUAUUUGCGAAAAGAGACAAAGGUUUCUUUAGGGUUUCUUCAGAACUUCAUAAGGGAUCUCCCUCAUUGCUUUGCACGUUUUCACACCUCUUGCCCAAACUCCAGCACUCGCUCCGCUCCCCCAGUGUGAAUCUCAUGACAAUACUUACAUGUCCAGUGCCGCUCUGCUUGUAUCACAUGCUUCCAGCUCCAGCAUUCGUGGCGUCCUCCAAUUCCUGCCAUGAACCCUUAAAAAACCUCGCAGCAGUUUUUCCGAUUUCGAGCUAGCAGACCCAGCAGAUGCCGAUGAUGGGCAUCUGCUGCAGCAAGCCGCACAGGGUUCAGGGGGGCCAGCAGAAUCUAUGGUGGCAAGCACGGAGAACUGGUCCAGUGCUGAGACAAGCAGAUCAGCGAAACGGCUUCUUCUUUCAUUUGUUUUAGUAUGUUAUUCGGUUGGGUUUUAUAAACUUAAUAUUANNNNNNNNNNNNNNNNNNNNNNNNNNNNNNNNNNNNNNNNNNNNNNNNNNNNNNNNNNNNNNNNNNNNNNNNNNNNNNNNNNNNNNNNNNNNNNNNNNNNNNNNNNNNNNNNNNUUUGAACGUUUGCACGUCUAGCUGCAACUAUGACUGGAAGUGAGUUAAAUAGUGUUUGUGUGUAAAAAUAGAUUUUCUCUUCCACCUCAAAUUCUUGAAUGUGGAAUUCAUGGGAGUGAAGCCAAUUUCGAAAGUUGAUGUCUCAAUCAAGGGCAUUAAUUUAUCUCGGUUCAGAGUUCAAAAGUGAAUCUAAAACAUUGAUCCCACAGAAAGAAGAAAGAAAACGCACUGGUGCAUUUGACUGUAAAGGAAUGUGGUUCAUUCUUCACCUUGAACUUUGAGGAGAUUAAUUCUCUUCCUAAGAGUUUGAAAAUGAACGUGCGUCAUCACAUUUUAAAGAGUGGAACUCUGAAAAAAACCAUUUGUUUUAUUCCUCUCAACAGGAGGAGACUUGAACGAAGUCACUUUUCAAUUGCAGGAUAAAAAUGAUGUUUUGACGAAGUGAGUUCUUUACUAGAGCUGAGAGCCACAGUAUCAAACUAGAUUUAAUUUGUUUAGAAGAAUGUAUAAUGCUAUUCAAGCUUCAAAGUUUAGAAAAAUGGUCCGUGAACGUACACUGACCUUUCAAUCUUACCAUGGAUUUAAGCGAUCAAUGUAAGCUUCUUUGGUCUCCCAGCUAGAAUGGAUUUGACAAAGUUGAUGGCCAGUCGCGAUUGUGGUCCUUCUGGGUAAAAGUUUAAGUCAAGGACGCUUCUUUGGUCUCCCAGCAUGGGUUUUGUCAGCGAUUUCAAAAAGCUGCAACUCAUCAAAUGACGUCAAAUGUGAGGCACGAGAAAGGGAAGCCCAUGUGAAAGUCCAGUGUAUGCUCUGAAAACUUUCUAUACAAUGCAAGAGAGAAGCUUUGAAAUGGUCUUCGAUUUGGCAAUUUAGCGGUGGCUAAACUGUAGAAUCCAGCUAUAAAAACCGCCACAAAGUUCGAACGUGAGCAGCAAGGCAUCUCGCAGCGUGUUCUUCGGAGUUGCAAAGUCUCAGCAAAGGUUCAAGAAAAAAUCUCGAUCCAUUUUUCCUCCUUUUGCAAGCAUGAAGAAGGUGACACUCUCAACUUGUGGGAGCUGCGAGGGAAAGACUGAUGCGCUUAAGAAGAUCAAAGGUAUGUGGAUUGGAAAUUUGAAAGCUGAUAUCGUUUCUUGUUUUUGAACAACAGGGGUUGAUAAGGUGGAAUGGGAGUCGUCAAGCCUGGUAGUGAUCGGCAAAUUUGAUGUGGACGACGUGGUCAAGGCGAUGGAUUGCCACCACAGCAUUCUUCGUUCUGUCGAGAACGAUUAUGAGCCCCCAAAGAAGGACAAGGAGAAGAAGGGCGGUGGUUCUAGCGUUGUAUAUGUUUACACCCACACCUACAAUCACUACAAUUGCAAGUGAACUUCAGGAGUUUCUGAUCUAAAAGCCAAGUUCUUAGGGUUUCUUAUUUCGCAUACUUUAGUUUAAAAUUUAACCCUCAAUUUAACGUAAGGGUUUAAGGAUGGAAUUAAAUUUUCAAAACUUGAAUAUUUUUUGAUCAAACUGAUGAAUAAUGCCGGUGCUCAGCCGUAGUCAAUACGAUCGGUGUGGAGUUCUAGAAUAGUAAACUAGCAGAGUUUUUUCCUACCUUACCUUUCUUUAUGUUAUAAAAAACAACCAUCGAUUAACUGGUCCGAACUCACGGGAAACAGCUUUUUGGGGCCGAAAUUUCCACGAAAUUGUUCCCGCAAGGACAAUUAUGAGAGAGUAGAAGAAGGAACAUCAUGAAGUUCAUCCCACGGUGCCACGCAAUGUGUUGGAAUAGUGGCAACGACCACUUCAAGUAGGGAAUCACCCAUUUGCUGCUGUAUGAUUUGCUGCUCAACUUGGAAUCUAAGUUCUGGGUUCAAACGCGACAACCUUUUGCAGGCUUUGAUGAAUCGGUCUCUCAUAAGAAGAAUAGACAGUUAAAGUUGCAACACAGCGGAUCUAGACGUGUGGAAUUUUCUUCUGCAUUAUGUCGUCUUUGACUAUUCGCUGAAAUCGCGAGGAAUUUGGUGGUGACGCGUCGUCCUACAAAGACUGUACCGUAGAAUCAAGCUAUAAAAACCGCAAACGUGAGCAGCAAGGCAUCUCGCAGCGUAUUUCUCGAUUUUCUGGCACAUCUUGAGCGAGCAACUCCAGUUUCCUUUCCUUGUAAGCAUGAAGAAGGCGACACUCUCAACUUGUGAAAACUGCAAGGGGAAGACUGACGCGCUCAAGAAGAUCAAAGGUAUAGCACAAUCUUUGCAUUGGAUCGCGGCCCUGAUUCCAUGAAAUCUCUGGUGCGGUUUUCCCAAUAGGGGUCGAUAAGGUGGAAUCGGAGUCGUCAGGCUGGUGGUGAUUGGAAAAUUUGAUGUGGACGACGUGCUAAAGGCGAUGGAUUGCCACCACAGUGUCCUUCGUUCCAUCGAGAACAAUUACGAGCCCCCCAAAAAGAAGGAAGCAGGCUCUAGCGUUAUAUAUGUGUACACCCACACCUACAACCAGUGGAAAACGUAUGAAACUAAAAAACGUAACGUUUUAAACGCGUUAAAAAACGCCGUUCUAAACUCCCAACGAGUUUGCACUAUUUGCGAAAAGAGACAAAGGUUUCUUUAGGGUUUCUUCAGAACUUCAUAAGGGAUCUCCCUCAUUGCUUUGCACGUUUUCACACCUCUUGCCCAAACUCCAGCACUCGCUCCGCUCCCCCAGUGUGAAUCUCAUGACAAUACUUACAUGUCCAGUGCCGCUCUGCUUGUAUCACAUGCUUCCAGCUCCAGCAUUCGUGGCGUCCUCCAAUUCCUGCCAUGAACCCUUAAAAAACCUCGCAGCAGUUUUUCCGAUUUCGAGCUAGCAGACCCAGCAGAUGCCGAUGAUGGGCAUCUGCUGCAGCAAGCCGCACAGGGUUCAGGGGGGCCAGCAGAAUCUAUGGUGGCAAGCACGGAGAACUGGUCCAGUGCUGAGACAAGCAGAUCAGCGAAACGGCUUCUUCUUUCAUUUGUUUUAGUAUGUUAUUCGGUUGGGUUUUAUAAACUUAAUAUUAGAUUAAAGUGUCUUUAGUAAAUAUUAGUGUUUUCUUAAUCAUUUUAGGCUUUAACAUGUAAACGUUUGAUUGUCCUGAAAAAAACGUUUUAAACGGCAUUUAAACGUGGACGCGUUUGAACGUUUGCACGUCUAGCUGCAACUAUGACUGGAAGUGAGUUAAAUAGUGUUUGUGUGUAAAAAUAGAUUUUCUCUUCCACCUCAAAUUCUUGAAUGUGGAAUUCAUGGGAGGUGAAGCAAUUUCGAAAGUUGAUGUCUCAAUCAAGGGCAUUAAUUUAUCUCGGUUCAGAGUUCAAAAGUGAAUCUAAAACAUUGAUCCCACAGAAAGAAGAAAGAAAACGCACUGGUGCAUUUGACUGUAAAGGAAUGUGGUUCAUUCUUCACCUUGAACUUUGAGGAGAUUAAUUCUCUUCCUAAGAGUUUGAAAAUGAACGUGCGUCAUCACAUUUUAAAGAGUGGAACUCUGAAAAAAACCAUUUGUUUUAUUCCUCUCAACAGGAGGAGACUUGAACGAAGUCACUUUUCAAUUGCAGGAUAAAAAUGAUGUUUUGACGAAGUGAGUUCUUUACUAGAGCUGAGAGCCACAGUAUCAAACUAGAUUUAAUUUGUUUAGAAGAAUGUAUAAUGCUAUUCAAGCUUCAAAGUUUAGAAAAAUGGUCCGUGAACGUACACUGACCUUUCAAUCUUACCAUGGAUUUAAGCGAUCAAUGUAAGCUUCUUUGGUCUCCCAGCUAGAAUGGAUUUGACAAAGUUGAUGGCCAGUCGCGAUUGUGGUCCUUCUGGGUAAAAGUUUAAGUCAAGGACGCUUCUUUGGUCUCCCAGCAUGGGUUUUGUCAGCGAUUUCAAAAAGCUGCAACUCAUCAAAUGACGUCAAAUGUGAGGCACGAGAAAGGGAAGCCCAUGUGAAAGUCCAGUGUAUGCUCUGAAAACUUUCUAUACAAUGCAAGAGAGAAGCUUUGAAAUGGUCUUCGAUUUGGCAAUUUAGCGGUGGCUAAACUGUAGAAUCCAGCUAUAAAAACCGCCACAAAGUUCGAACGUGAGCAGCAAGGCAUCUCGCAGCGUGUUCUUCGGAGUUGCAAAGUCUCAGCAAAGGUUCAAGAAAAAAUCUCGAUCCAUUUUUCCUCCUUUUGCAAGCAUGAAGAAGGUGACACUCUCAACUUGUGGGAGCUGCGAGGGAAAGACUGAUGCGCUUAAGAAGAUCAAAGGUAUGUGGAUUGGAAAUUUGAAAGCUGAUAUCGUUUCUUGUUUUUGAACAACAGGGGUUGAUAAGGUGGAAUGGGAGUCGUCAAGCCUGGUAGUGAUCGGCAAAUUUGAUGUGGACGACGUGGUCAAGGCGAUGGAUUGCCACCACAGCAUUCUUCGUUCUGUCGAGAACGAUUAUGAGCCCCCAAAGAAGGACAAGGAGAAGAAGGGCGGUGGUUCUAGCGUUGUAUAUGUUUACACCCACACCUACAAUCACUACAAUUGCAAGUGAACUUCAGGAGUUUCUGAUCUAAAAGCCAAGUUCUUAGGGUUUCUUAUUUCGCAUACUUUAGUUUAAAAUUUAACCCUCAAUUUAACGUAAGGGUUUAAGGAUGGAAUUAAAUUUUCAAAACUUGAAUAUUUUUUGAUCAAACUGAUGAAUAAUGCCGGUGCUCAGCCGUAGUCAAUACGAUCGGUGUGGAGUUCUAGAAUAGUAAACUAGCAGAGUUUUUUCCUACCUUACCUUUUUUAUGUUAUAAAAAACAACCAUCGAUUAACUGGUCCGAACUCACGGGAAACAGCUUUUUGGGGCCGAAAUUUCCACGAAAUUGUUCCCGCAAGGACAAUUAUGAGAGAGUAGAAGAAGGAACAUCAUGAAGUUCAUCCCACGGUGCCACGCGAUGUGCGGAAUAGUGGCAACGACCACUUCUAGUAGGGAAUCACCCAUUUGCUGCUGUAUGAUUUGCUGCUCAACUUGAGUUCUAGGCUCAAACGCGACAAUCUUUUGCGGCUUUGAUGAAUCGGUCUCUCAGCUAGUUGGAAUGUCCUCUUCAUAAGAAGAAUAGACUGUUAAAGUUGCAACAACGCGGAUCUAGACAGCGUGAAAUUUUCUUCUGCAUUGUGGUCGUCUUUGACUAUUCGCUGAAAUCGCGAGGAAUUUGGUGGUGACGCGUCGUCCUACAAAGACUGUACCGUAGAAUCAAGCUAUAAAAACCGCAAACGUAGCAGCAAGGCAUCUCGCAGCGUCUUUCUCGGUUUUCUGAGCAAACAUCUUGAGCAAGCAACUAGUAAUCUCGAUCCAUUUUCCUUUCCUUGCAAGCAUGAAGAAGGCGACACUCUCAACUUGUGAAAGCUGCAAGGGGAAGACCGACGCGCUCAAGAAGAUCAAAGGUAUAGCACAAUCUUUGCAUUGGAUCGCGGCCCUGAUUCCAUGAAAUCUCUGAACAGGGGUCGAUAAGGUGGAGUCGGAGUCGUCAGGCCUGGUGGUGAUUGGAAAAUUUGAUGUGGACGACGUGCUAAAGGCGAUGGAUUGCCACCACAGUGUCCUUCGUUCCAUCGAGAACAAUUACGAGCCCCCCAAAAAGAAGGAAGACAAGAAGGAGGAAGGUUCUAGCGUUAUAUAUGUGUACACCCACACCUACAACCAGUACUGGAAGUGAGUUAAAAUAGUGUUUGUGUAUAGAAGUAGUUUUUCUCUUCCACUUCAAAUACUUGAAUUCAUGGGAGGUGAAGCAAUUUCGAAAGCUUGAAACCGAUGCGGUUCAGAGAUCAAAAGCGAAUCUAAAAUAUUGAUCCCGCAGAAAGAAGAAAGAAAACACACCGGAGACUCUAUGGUGGCUCUCAGCUCUAGUAAACUUCUCACUUCGUCAAAACAUCAUUUUUAUCCUAAAAGUGAUCCUCCUCCUGUUUAGAGAAAUAAAUGGUUUAUUUUCUGAGGAGUUCCAAGUGAGUUCCAGGCUAUGCGAUUGGAAUUGUUUAGAAGAUUAUAUAAUGCUAUUCAAGCUUCAAACUUUAAAAAAAUGGUCCGUGAACGUGGACUGACCUUUCAAUCUUACCUUCUUUUCUGGAUUUAAGCGAUCAAUGUAAGCUUCUUUGGUCUCCCGGCUCGAAUGGACUUUUUCUUCCAGCGAUUUCAGAAAGGGAGCACGAGGGUGUCAAGUUGCAACACC
rnacentral:lncRNA from 1 species